AUGUUAAUAUCUCCCCCAGAAAUACUUCUUAAAAUAGCAGCAUUUUUCUUUGGAAACAUGAAGGGUUUAGCGAUGAGCAAUUCCAGAAACUUUGCAAUGAAAGAUGAGUUGGCAAACGAAGAGUAACUAGCAGUGAAGGGCGUGAUUGAUGGGUGAUCUUUCAGCAGCAUUGUUAUUUGUUUUUCAGGUGAUUUAUGCCAUUUAUGGCAUGGAUUAUGUGGGGAUUGCCUGCUGUUCCCUGGGAGCAGAGGCCGACCCCACCUCACACAGCCUCCUUUCAGGUCAUUGCAGAGAGCCAGGAGGUCUCCCCUGAGCCUCCUCUUCUCCAGACCGUACAGUAUGGGCACACUGAAAGAGCAAUGCAACGUGCCAUCACGCUGAGCUGUUUCCAGAGAAUUCACAUCACCUUACCCCAGACGGUGUGUGCCGUUUGCCAUGGACAAAGUCGCAUCCUUGCAGCAGUAGCCUGCUUAUUGUUUCCAAGUACGUGUGGCCCUUUGGAGAGAAAGGAAUGUGGGGCUGCCCAGUGCCUGGUGUCCCCAUGGGAUGGCACUCUGUCCGUGCCCGAACAGCAGGUGUAAACAGAACUGUCAUUUUACAGGUCAAAAAGGGACUGUGCAAAUUAAUGAUCGGUGCUUCUCUGCUUCUCUCAGCUCUUCACAUAGUCUGACAUUAGAAGGAAUGCUUUGGGUUUUCUUCCCAAAUGCUGCAAAUGACCUUAUUU
rnacentral:lncRNA from 7 species